rnacentral:rRNA from 1 species
GACGAACGCUGGCGGCGGGCUUAACACAUGCAAGUCGAACGGCAAGGCCCUGCUUGUGUGCGGUGCUCGAGGGGCGAACGGGUGAGUAACACGUGAGUAACCUGCCCUUGACUUUGGGAUAACUUAAGGUAACUGGGGCUACUACCGGACAGGAGCUCCCGCUGCAUGGUGGGGGUUGGAAAGUUUCGGCGGUUGGGGAUGGACUCGCGGCUUAUCAGCUUGUUGGUGGGGUAGUGGUUUACCCAGGCUUUGACGGGUAGCCGGCCUGAGAGGGUGGCCGGGCACCUUGGGACUGAGAUACGGACCAGACUGCUACGGGAGGCAGCAGUGGAGAAUAUUGCACAGUGGGCGGGAGUCUGAUGCAGCAACGCUGCGUGCGGGAUGACGGCCUGCGGGUUGUAAACCGCUUUCGCCUGAGACGAAGCGGGAGUGACGGUAAUGAGUAAAGAAGCACCGGCUAACUACGUG